rnacentral:tRNA from 1 species
UGGGUGAAGUAUAAUUUGUACAUUUUAGUUACAUUAAAAAAGACUCAACUUGAGCACCCUUA